UGGAAAGUGAGCUAGAAUUUCGGUUGGCCU
rnacentral:piRNA from 1 species